CCCGUAGUUAAAUUUUUAUAACGAUGGUUUUUCAGGCCAUUGAUCCUGGAGAGAGGCCAGGUGGGAA
rnacentral:tRNA from 1 species